rnacentral:tRNA from 1 species
GGGGGCGUGGCGGAAUUGGCAGACGCAGCGGACUUAAAAUCCGCCACCGAAAGGUUUAAGGGUUCGAGUCCCUUCGCCCCUACCA